GCGAUGAAGGGCGUGCUAAUCUGCGAUAAGCGCCGGUAAGGUGAUAUGAACCGUUAUAACCGGCGAUACCCGAAUGGGGAAACCCAGUGUGAUUCGUCACACUAUCAUUAACUGAAUCCAUAGGUUAAUGAGGCGAACCGGGGGAACUGAAACAUCUAAGUACCCCGAGGAAAAGAAAUCAACCGAGAUUCCCCCAGUAGCGGCGAGCGAACGGGGAGGAGCCCAGAGCCUGAAUCAGCAUGUGUGUUAGUGGAAGCGUCUGGAAAGGCGCGCGAUACAGGGUGACAGCCCCGUACACAAAAGCGCAUGUGCUGUGAGCUCGAUGAGUAGGGCGGGACACGUGGUAUCCUGUCUGAAUAUGGGGGGACCAUCCUCCAAGGCUAAAUACUCCUGACUGACCGAUAGUGAACCAGUACCGUGAGGGAAAGGCGAAAAGAACCCCGGCGAGGGGAGUGAAAAAGAACCUGAAACCGUGUACGUACAAGCAGUGGGAGCCCCACCACUAAGCCAGUGGUGAACUCCACAUACGCAUCCUUUGCUGAGGAUACGGUUAACGGAGCGAAAGCGACGUUCAACCUCAAAAGAAGCAGAGGGGGCUUAGUGGUGGGGUGACUGCGUACCUUUUGUAUAAUGGGUCAGCGACUUAUAUUCUGUAGCAA
rnacentral:rRNA from 1 species